UACAGAGGUCUCAAGCGUUGUUCGGAUUCAUUGGGCGUAAAGGGUGCGUAGGUGGCGCCGUAAGUCUGGUGUGAAAUUUCGGGGCUUAACUCCGAAACUGCAUUCGAUACUGCGGUGCUUGAGGACUGGAGAGGAGACUGGAAUUCAUGGUGUAGCAGUGAAAUGCGUAGAGAUCAUGAGGAAGACCAGUGGCGAAGGCGGAUCUCUGGACAGUUCCUGACACUGAGACGCGAAAGCGUGGGGAGCAAACAGG
rnacentral:rRNA from 1 species